GACGAACGCUGGCGGCGUGCUUAACACAUGCAAGUCGAACGAAGAGCGACGGAAGCUUGCUUCUAUCAAUCUUAGUGGCGCACGGGUGAGUAACGCGUAAUCAACCUGCCCUUCAGAGGGGGACAACAGUUGGAAACGACUGCUAAUACCGCAUACGAUCUAACCUCGGCAUCGAGGAUAGAUGAAAGGUGGCCUCUACAUGUAAGCUAUCACUGAAGGAGGGGAUUGCGUCUGAUUAGCUAGUUGGAGGGGUAACGGCCCACCAAGGCGAUGAUCAGUAGCCGGUCUGAGAGCAUGAACGGCCACAUUGGGACUGAGACACGGCCCAGACUCCUACGGGAGGCAGCAGUGGGGAAUCUUCCGCAAUGGACGAAAGUCUGACGGAGCAACGCCGCGUGAGUGAUGACGGCCUUCGGGUUGUAAAGCUCUGUUAAUCGGGACGAAAGGCCUUCUUGCGAAUAGUGAGAAGGAUUGACGGUACCGGAAUAGAAAGCCGCGGCUAACUACGUG
rnacentral:rRNA from 1 species